AAAAAAUAAAGUGUGUGGGUGUGAAGAAAAGAUUGUUAGUUCAACAAGAUAAAUAGUAUUUAAUAUAUAUAUAGGACCAGAAUAUUCUGGAGAAUAUAAUAUUAACAGUUAAUUUAGGACCAGAGCACUCUGGAUUAAUUUAAUUAACAAUGACCAGAGCACUCUGGAGAAUAAUUAAAUUAAACAAAAAUAUAAUAUUAACAGUUAAUAUAGGACCAGAGCACUCUGGAUUAA
rnacentral:lncRNA from 1 species